rnacentral:rRNA from 1 species
CCUACGGGAGGCUGCAGUGAGGAAUAUUGGUCAAUGGGCGAGAGCCUGAACCAGCCAAGUCGCGUGAAGGAUGAAGGAUCUAUGGUUUGUAAACUUCUUUUGUGCGGGAGCAAUAAUGGUCACGUGUGGCCAGACGAGAGUACCGUACGAAUAAGCAUCGGCUAACUCCGUGCCAGCAGCCGCGGUAAUACGGGGGAUGCAAGCGUUAUCCGGAUUUAUUGGGUUUAAAGGGAGCGUAGAUGGGUUGUUAAGUCAGUUGUGAAAGUUUGCGGCUCAACCGUAAAAUUGCAAUUGAUACUGGCAGUCUUGAGUACAGUUGAGGUAGGCGGAAUUCGUGGUGUAGCGGUGAAAUGCUUAGAUAUCACGAAGAACUCCGAUUGCGAAGGCAGCUUACUAAACUGCCACUGACAUUGAUGCUCGAAAGUGUGGGUAUCAAACAGGAUUAGAUACCCUUGUAGUC